rnacentral:tRNA from 1 species
CUAUUAUUAAAUUAAUAAAAUUUUUAUUAAUAAGGAUUUUAUUAAAUAUCUUUUUAGA